AUGUUGCCUUACAAUUUGAGGGGAUUUUAUUUCAAUCCGGCAGUUUUCAAAUCGAGAUGAGAGAAACCAAUGCUAGAAAGUUCUGCUUCGACACAAGACUCGUCCGGCCUGAGGGUACGAAACUCACCAAAAUUACAAAAAAUAAUAAUUUAAAAUCAAUCAAAAGAAAUAGAACUUAUUAACAUCUUUAAAAGUCUACAGAAGUUGAAAAAAAAUUAUAUAGAAAUGGACUAUGAAAAUUUUGAUUUAUAGCUCAAAAAAGAUUCAAAACAUGUAAACAAAAACCAUAGAAAAUCAGAGCAUAUUUCAAAUCAUUUAUUAGUGAUUUAUUAACAAAACAAAAAAGUUUAUAUAAGGUUGCAACCUUAAAUGUAGAAUCCCAGAUGCACCUCAAAAC
rnacentral:lncRNA from 1 species